CCUACGGGAGGCAGCAGUGAGGAAUAUUGGUCAAUGUGCGCAAGUCUGAACCAGCCAUGCCGCGUGCAGGAAGACGGCUCUAUGAGUUGUAAACUGCUUUUGUACGAGGGUAAAUCCCGAUACGUGUAUCUGGUUGAGAGUAUCGUACGAAUAAGGAUCGGCUAACUCCGUGCCAGCAGCCGCGGUAAUACGGAGGAUUCAAGCGUUAUCCGGAUUUAUUGGGUUUAAAGGGUGCGUAGGCGGUUCGAUAAGUUAGAGGUGAAAUCCCGGGGCUCAAAUCCGGCACUGCCUCUGAUACUGUCGGGCUAGAGUUUAGUUGCGGUAGGCGGAAUGUAUGGUGUAGCGGUGAAAUGCAUAGAGAUCAUACAGAACACCGAUUGCGAAGGCAGCUUACCAAACUACGACUGACGUUGAGGCACGAAAGCGUGGGGAGCAAACAGGAUUAGAUACCCCGGUAGUC
rnacentral:rRNA from 1 species